rnacentral:tRNA from 1 species
GCAGCCAUGGUUCAGUGGUAGAAUUCUUGCCUUCCAUGCAGGAGAACCAGGUUCAGUUCCCAGUCAAUGCA